rnacentral:rRNA from 1 species
GUGUCAGCAGCCGCGGUAAUACGGAGGGUGCAAGCGUUGUUCGGAUUUAUUGGGCGUAAAGCGCGUGUAGGCGGUUUCUUAAGUCUGAUGUGAAAGCCCUGGGCUCAACCCAGGAAGUGCAUUGGAUACUGGGAGACUUGAAUACGGGAGAGGGUAGUGGAAUUCCUAGUGUAGGAGUGAAAUCCGUAGAUAUUAGGAGGAACACCGGUGGCGAAGGCGGCUACCUGGACCGAUAUUGACGCUGAGACGCGAAAGCGUGGGGAGCAAACAGGAUUAGAUACCCUGGUAGUCCACGCCGUAAACGAUGAGAACUAGGUGUUGCGGGUAUUGACCCCUGCAGUGCCGCAGCUAACGCAUUAAGUUCUCCGCCUGGGAAGUACGGUCGCAAGACUAAA